CUUACCAAAGGACACUAAGAGAGAGAGUGCUUUCUGUCUGUUUCUGAUAUAUCUGUGAUUACAAUUCAUUCAUUCGUUCAUUUGAUGGGUACCUCCUCAAGGGUGGGAACUGUCUUAGACUUAUGGAAUGUGGAUAUUCAUAAAUCAUGGUCCCUACUCUCAGAUGAGAGGAAAAGGCACAAAUGGCUAUGCUAAACAUCAGAACUAAUUAAGUGGGACACCAGAGAAUAUAAGAAAGGACCUAUGGGAGCAUAAAGAUGUAAGUGAUUUAUGAAGCCUCAUAUGAAUCCAGAGAAACUUCAGGGAGGGGAUAUUUUGGACCUUGACGUUGAAGAUUAGCUACCACUUAUUAUUUAUUGGUUUUAUUUUACUUUUUUGCCUAAUUAUAUCAGUGGGCUCCAAGGAUUAGAGCAGU
rnacentral:lncRNA from 1 species